rnacentral:SRP_RNA from 1 species
CUGCGCUAGCCGGGACGGCAGCGGUGUCCUGUACCUGCAAUCCGCUAUAGCAGGGGUGAACUCCGGCCCGCGGGCGGUGCGUGUAUUGUUUGACCUGUGUCGGAAGGCGAUGAAGAUUCGGUCCUUCGCAACAGUGGACUGUGAACCAUGUCAGGCGGGGAACCGAGCAGCAUUAAGCAGAACCCAUUGUGUGCCGCAGGAAUGCCGAGUCAGAGCCGGAUGACGCAUGUACCAGGUAUGACGUUCCGUUCAAUGGUCGGUGCGCGG